UUGGCAUGUCCAACAGUUACGCAGAAUGCUAUCCAGCCACGUAAGUGAGACCUAACUGAGUUGAGAUGACUGGGUGACCAGAUAUAAAUUUGACCUAUUGGGAGCUAAAGGUACUUUGUAUUUGGGUAAAUUCUUCUAUUUAGUUGUGGGAUGUUUAUCGGGUGGGUUUCUGAAUAAAAUAUAGUAAUACAUAUCUAAAGACUCUAAUCAACUGCUCUUUCUCUUUAGGAUGGAUGACAUGGCUGUAGAUAGUGAUGAAGAAGUAGAUUAUAGCAAAAUGGAUCAGGGUAACAAGAAGGGCCCCUUAGGCCGCUGGGAUUUUGAUACUCAGGAGGAGUACAGCGAGUAUAUGAACAACAAGGAGGCUUUGCCCAAGGCUGCAUUCCAGUAUGGCAUCAAGAUGUCUGAAGGACGGAAAACCAGGCGCUUCAAAGAAACCAAUGAUAAGGCAGAGCUUGAUCGACAGUGGAAGAAAAUAAGUGCGAUCAUCGAGAAGAGGAAGAAGAUGGAAGCUGACGGGGUUGAAGUGAAAAGACCAAAGUACUAAUCUCAAGUUCCAGCUGACCACAUGGCUGUUAUUAGUUGCUUGUUUCUACAAUUCCUCAAAAAGUUGCAAACUGUUUUUGUUUGUGAAUGUUUAUAAAUGUUUAUUGUAUAACUCUUUAAGAUCUGUGUCCCAAAUGCUAAGAUUAAUGGCAAUGCAACACCAUGUGUCCAACAUGUUCAAUUAAAAUCAGUUAAACCUGC
rnacentral:lncRNA from 1 species